UACGAAGGGGGCUAGCGUUGUUCGGAAUUACUGGGCGUAAAGCGCGCGCAGGCGGUCUUCCAAGUCAGUGGUGAAAGCCUGGAGCUCAACUCCAGAACUGCCAUUGAAACUGUUAGACUUGAGUACGAGAGAGGUGAGUGGAAUUCCCAGUGUAGAGGGUGAAAAUUCGUAGAUAUUGGGAAGAACACCAGUGGCGAAGGCGGCUCACUGGCUCGUAACUGACGCUCAGGCGCGACAGCGUGGGGAUCGAAACAGG
rnacentral:rRNA from 1 species